rnacentral:rRNA from 1 species
GACAGAGGGUGCAAACGUUGUUCGGAAUUACUGGGCGUAAAGAGUGUGUAGGCGGUGCUCUAAGCUCGGUGUGAAAUCUCCUGGCUCAACUGGGAGGGUGCGCCGGAAACUGGAGUGCUUGAGCGUGGGAGAGGAAAGCGGAAUUCCUGGCGUAGCGGUGAAAUGCGUAGAUAUCAGGAGGAACACCUGUGGUGUAGACGGCUUUCUGGACCAUAGCUGACGCUGAGACACGAAAGCGUGGGUAGCAAACAGG